GUCAUUUGCCUUAUAUCCCAGCCGUGCUUCUAGAGUCUUCUGUUCAUUGUCAGCAGCAAGACAGAAUGAAUGGAUCUCUGAAGCUGAUGUCAUUUGAUGAUGUGGCUGUGUACUUUACCUGGAAGGAGUGGCAGGAUCUGGAUCCUGGUCAGAGGACCCUUCAUAGAGAAGUAAUGCUGGAAACUUAUAACAACCUAAUGUCCUUGGGGCACUGUGUUCCUAAACCUAUAUUGAUUGUGAAGCUGGAGCAAGGUGCAGAACCAUGGAUGAGAGAAGACUCAGAAGAGAAUUUCAC